AUGGCCAUGGUCACCGGCAUCAGCACCACCCACGUCGUCGCGCCGCAGGCCGUCUACCUCAACGAGGAGAAGCUCGUCCCCGUGCCAUCGCCGGAGGGCGUGUGGUACUUCGACACAGGGGCGAGCAGCCACAUGACUGGCGAGCGGCACGUGUUCGCGACGCUGGACGAGACCGUGCAUGGCACUGUCAAGUUCGGGGACGGAUCGACCGUGGCGAUACGCGGACGUGGCUCCGUCGUGUUCCGCGGCCAGAGUGGUGACCAGCGGGCACUCACUGGGGUGUUCUACAUCCCGAGCCUGCGGAGUAACAUACUCUCCGUGGGUCAGCUCGAUGAGGGCGGGUGCACGGUCGACAUCAAGGACGGCAUCAUGACGAUCCAGGAUUCAGCGCGGCGCGUCCUAGCCCGCAUCAAGCGCACGGCGACGCGCCUGUACACCGGCGUACUCACGAUCGACACGCCCACCUGUUUGCUCUCGAAGAGCAACGACGUGACCUGGCGGUGGCAUGCACGCCUGGGUCAUAUUCACUUCCGGGCGCUGCGUGCCAUGUCCACAAAGGGCAUGGUCAAGGGCAUGCCGGAGAUCGACUGCGUGGCGGAGUACUGCGAUGGUUGCGUGCUCGGGAAGCAGCACAGAUCGUCGUUCCCGCGGGCCACGGAGUACCGAGCGGAAAAGGGCCUGGAGCUCGUCCACACCGACUUGUGCGGUCCGAUAUCGCCGGCGACGCCGAGAGGUAACAAGUAUUUUAUCCUCGUCGUUGACGAUCACAGCCGCUAUAUGUGGGUGGAGCUUCUGAAGUCGAAGGAUGAAGCGUUCGACCGUUUCAAACGGAUCAAGGCCAUGGCCGAGGCGGAGGGGCAGUGCAAACUGCGCGCGUUCCGGUCGGACCGGGGCGGCGAGUUCAACUCCGGUGAGUUUGCGGAGUUCUGCAUCAACCACGGCGUCAAGCACUUCACCACGGCCCCGUACACGCCCCAACAAAAUGGGGUUGUCGAACGCCGCAACCAAACCGUCGUCGAGAUGGCACGGUGCAUGCUAAAGAGCAUGGCCAUGCCGGCGCUCUUCUGGGCGGAGGCGGUGAGGACGGCCGUGUACAUCCUCAAUAGGACGCCGACGAGAAGCCUUACCGGAGUGACGCCAUACGAAGCAUGGCGCGGACGACCGCCCACGGUGCAGCACAUGCGCACAUUUGGCUGCACGGUGCAUGUCAAGAGAACCGGCCCCGGCAUCACAAAGCUCUCCGAUCGCUCAACGCCCAUGGUGUUUGUUGGCUACGAAGAAGGCACAAAAGGGUACAGGGUGUAUGAUCCCAGUACUAACAAGGUGCAGGUGACGCGUGAUGUGUUGUUCGAGGAGAGCAGGCCGUGGAACUGGGAGGCUCACAGCGCGCCGAGCGUGGUCAGCGCGCCGCGCACAUUCACCGUCGAGUACAUCACCGAGCACGGCACCACGGAGGUCGACACGGGAGAGACGUGCACCUGCACGCCGCGCUCCGUGACGACCGCGGCGCCCGCGACGCCGGUGUCGCGCACUCCGGGCACGCAUGACGCCGGGCCCUCCACUCCAGCGGCGGAGCCAAAUUCGCCAGAGUUGAACACACCCGUGGCGACUCGAGAUGCAAAGUGGGUCACGCCACUCACGCACGACGACGGGUGUGACGUGGAGAGUGGGCAACCACGCCGCUACCGGCGGACGUCCGAGGUGAUGGCAGACACGGAGGAGGAGGCCGUCUACGACCAGUUCGACUGCUGCUUGCUCGUGCGCUGCUUGUUCAGUGCCGAGGAGCCGCGGGAUGUGGACGAGGCCCUCACGGACAAGGCAUGGAAGGGCGCCAUGGACAGCGAGAUGCAGCCCAUGAACGACAACAACACCUGGGAGCUUGUCUCGCUGCCUGCCGGACACAAAGCAAUCGGGCUCAAGUGGGUGUACCGAGUCAAGCGCGAUCCGGCAGGCAACAUCGUCAAGCACAAAGCCCGUCUUGUCGCCAAGGGAUAUGUACAGCGUCAGGGGGUGGACUUUGAGGAAGUUUUCGCUCCCGUGGCACGGAUGGAAACUGUCAGACUGCUGCUCGCGCUCGCCGCGCACUCUGGUUGGGAAGUUCAUCACAUGGACGUAAGGUCGGCAUUUCUGAAUGGCGAGCUCAGUGAAGAGGUUUACGUGGCACAACCGCCGGGAUACGUCAUCGCUGGCAAGGAGCAGAGUGUGUUGAAGUUGCGGAAGGCACUGUAUGGCCUGCGACAGGCUCCACGAGCAUGGUAUGCAAAGUUUGAUGAUUCCAUGGCGUCAUUGGGUUUUACUCGCAGCCCUCUCGAGCAUGCAGUGUAUCGCCGCGGUGACAAGCAAUCCUUCUUGCUGGUGGGUGUCUAUGUAGAUGAUCUUGUCAUCAUAGGGACAAGCCUGAUAGAGAUCGAGGAAUUCAAGCGACAGAUGUGCCAGUUAUUUCAGAUGAGCGAUCUUGGCCGUCUCAGUUACUAUCUGGGCAUAGAAGUGGAACAAGGAGAUGGGGUGAUCACACUCAAACAGCAGAGCUACGCCGGAAAGAUCCUGGAAGUGGCCGGUAUGAGUGAUUGCAACAGCUGCACCACUCCCAUGGAGUGCAGACUGAAGCUGAUCAAGGAAGACGGGGGUAAGCCUGCAGAUGCAACACUGUAUCGCAGAGUUAUUGGCAGUCUUCGCUACCUGGUAAAUACCCGUCCUGACAUAGCUCAUGCAGUUGGGAUUGUCAGCCGUUUCAUGGAGAAGCCAAGUACUCAUCAUUGGGCAGCCGUCAAACAAAUUCUGCGUUACAUAAAGGGCACAAUGAGCUAUGGCUGUACCUACAGAGCAGGAAAUGGCGAUGCACACUUGCUUGGGUUCAGUGAUUCUGAUCACGGGGGAGAUGUUGGAGAUCGGAAGAGCACUUCAGGUCAGGUCUUCUUCCUCGGUAAGAAUCUGAUCACAUGGAGCUCCCAGAAACAGAGAAUUGUCGCUCUCUCCUCUUGUGAAGCAGAAUAUGUGGCAGCAUGCGCAGCUACUUGUCAGGGUGUAUGGCUCAACAGUCUGCUAGCAGACAUGAAGGGAGAAACACCGAAGAGCUUCAAACUGAUGGUGGACAAUAAAUCAGCGAUUGAGCUAAGCAAAAACCCUGUUCACCAUGACCGCAGCAAGCACAUUGACAUCAAGUUUCACUAUAUCCGUGACUGUAUGGAUGCCGGAAAAGUGCAAAUUGAUCAUGUGGGCACCAAGGACCAACUAGCUGAUCUUCUGACGAAGGCGUUGGGCAGGGUGCAGUUCAUCGAGCUGCGGCAGCGUCUGGGAGUGGCUAAGAUUGGAGAUGGACAAAGAGAUUAA
rnacentral:rRNA from 1 species